rnacentral:rRNA from 1 species
UUGGAGGGCAAGUCUGGUGCCAGCAGCCGCGGUAAUUCCAGCUCCAAUAGCGUAUAUUAAAGUUGUUGCAGUUAAAAAGCUCGUAGUUGAAUUUCGGGACUAAUAUGUCGGUCGUACUUUGUACGUACUAGCAUUAUUGGUUUCUCCCUUCUGACGAACCACGAUGUCAUUAAUUUGGUGUCGUGGGAAAUCAGGACUGUUACUUUGAAAAAAUUAGAGUGUUUAAAGCAAGCUCGCGCUUGAAUACAUUAGCAUGGAAUAAUGAAAUAGGACGUUUGAUUCUAUUUUGUUGGUUUCUAGGAUCGACGUAAUGAUUAAUAGGGAUAGUUGGGGGCAUUAGUAUUCAAUUGUCAGAGGUGAAAUUCUUGGAUUUAUUGAAGACUAACUACUGCGAAAGCAUUUGCCAAGGAUGUUUUCAUUAAUCAAGAACGAAAGUUAGGGGAUCGAAGACGAUCAGAUACCGUCGUAGUCUUAACCAUAAACUAUGCCGACUAGGGAUCGGAUGAUGUUAAUUUUUUAAUGACUCAUUCGGCGCCUUACGGGAAAC